CUUGUAUAUUUUUUGGAAAGUGUCCAUUGAAAUAUGGUUCAAUAAAUGUGUCAACUUCAGUGCUUAUACCUGAUUUGCCAGCAAAGAUUUAGAUUUGGUUUUUGCGUAUUUGGUAGUAAAGCAGGUCAAUCUGCAAAAUUAUAUGUGAUCCCAGCGAGGCUCAAUCUGUGGGUGAUGUUAUUCACGAGUUGCUGGGUGGCGUACAUGUUGCGUGUGAACAUAAGCCUCAAUCUAAUUGCCAUGGUGCCUCAAACGUCACACAAUUCUUCUUCGACAUCACAAUGCGGAGCUAAAGACGACGUGGUCAGGAACACUAGUUUGCAGCACGUAGACAUAGCUGAUGUUAGAGAGGUGCCCAGACAGGUUCCAGGAGGUGCAUCUUUUGAUUGGACCGCUGAUCAACAAGCACUUAUCCUUGGCUCAUACUUUUGGUGCUACCCGCUGACAUCUUUGGCUGGAGGAAUGGCUGCUGAGCGAUGGGGUCCUCGAUUAGUAGUCUUCGUGACUUCACUAGCAAGCGCAGUGCUAACUGCAUUGAGUCCUGUGGCUUCAUCCUGGAAUUAUCUGGCACUAGUUGUUAUUAGGUUCUUCCUGGGAUUUGCUUCAGGAUUCAUAUAUCCAGCCCUUCAUGUGUUGGUAGCCCGGUGGGCUCCACCUGCGGAAAAAGGGAAGUUUGUUAGUGCCACGAUGGGCGGUACAUUAGGGACAGUUGUUACUUGGUCUUUGACUGGACCUCUCAUAGAAAAGUUCGGCUGGGAGUCAGCGUUUUAUGUGCCAGCCGCAUUAACAUUUGUUUGGUGCUUUUUCUGGUGGUACUUAGUUGCCGAUACACCCUCAGAGCAUCCAAGGAUAUCGGUAAAAGAGAAGAAUUAUAUUUUAGAUGCUCUAGGAGACAAGGUUAAAAAGUCAAAGGGCCUGCCGCCUUUUAAGAGCAUUGUCAAGUCAUUUCCCUUUCUGGCUAUGAUAGUUUUGCAUUAUGGAAACCUAUGGGGAUUGUACUUUAUAAUGACUGUUGGUCCAAAAUUUGUGGCAAGCGUUUUAGGAUUUGAAUUAUCAGCCGCGGGCGUAAUAUCCGCUUUACCAUAUCUCGCUAGGCUGGUGAUGGCAACAAUUUUUGGCUUUAUUGGAGAUUUUAUAUUAGCACGAAAAUUAAUGACAACGACGGUUAUUCGAAAAUUCUUCUGUCUUUUUUCACAUAUUUUGCCUGGAUUAUUGUUGCUCUGCUUGAUUUAUGCCGGAUGUUCAACAACCCUAUCAGUGGCUUUAAUAACUAUGUCAAUGGGCUUCAACGGAGCUGCUACGUUAACAAAUUUACAAAAUCACCAAGACUUAGCUCCAAGUUAUGCUGGAACUUUAUAUGGAAUUGCUAAUUGUAUCGGUAGCACGGCUGGGUUUUUUACACCUAUGAUAACUGCAUAUUUCACAAGGAACGGAAACGGCUUCGAACAAUGGAGACCAGUCUUUUAUAUAGGGGCGUCAGUAUAUGUUGUUUCUGCCGUAUUUUUUAUCUUCUUCGGCACCGGUAACAUUCAAGAUUGGAAUUUUGCGGAAAAUACAAAGGAAAAUAAAGACGAUAAAAACAACGACUUAAAAGAAAUGAACGGGAUAACGACACGAACCGGUGAUGCCAAAGAUGCGAAAGAUACUCCUUUAAGCGUAAUCUCAUAAGGUGUGAGUUUUGUAACAAUGUAAUAGCAUCACUAGAUACAGUAUCGUAACUCUUCAAGGGCUAAGCAUGUAUAUUUGCGAUGUCGUAAAUAGUGGAUGAUGUAGAAAUGUUUAGACGGUAAGUUAAAUAAAUAUGAAAAUAUCCAUCCGUCCAUAGCAUGGUGGUAAGUUUGAAAUUACUGGUAUUAAUUAAUGACAUUAUUUCGUAUCGUGUGGUUUAUUAUUUAAUAUAAUAAAUUAGGUGUACUAAUGAAAUAUUCGGCUAGUAAAUUUUAAUUUAAACAUAAUAAAAAUGUUAGGCGCGUACCUUAUUACUGUUAUCUGUGAUUUGUUAGUGAUAAAAUGGAAACCCUCUUGGAAGAGACAGGGAUACAACAUUCAUUGUUUAUUUUUGACCAUUUGUUUUAGUAUAAGUAAAUUUGCAUUUGUUUAUUAAGAUUUUGUAUGUUAUUUUUGUUUUUAAAGGUGCCUUUUAAAAUUUGCAUUGAAAGCUUAGAAAUUACAUUAAUUGGCUAAUAUCAUCAAAUUUGUGUGCGUUUGAAUUAACGUAUGAUUGUCAUCGUCAUCAGCCCACAAUCAUACACUGUUAGAUCUCUACCAAUCCACAUCAUUGAGCCCGGUCGCUAAUAAUUAAUUGCUAACGUAUAAUUGCACCUAAAGCAUCUCAAUAAUUUUAACGUAUAACUAUGUAAAUUUCUUUAAGUAUUUAAAUCAAAAUGACUUCACCAGUGGCUUCCUUGAAGGAGAAGACAUUCCUUCUCAAAUUAUAAAUAGAUAAUAUUGACUAUGUGGUUUAUUAUAAUAUGAUUUAUCGUUUAGAAAUAAUUUAUGUGUCUAGAUUACCAUUUAAUUUUAUUGAUUUCAUUGUAUGUGAAGUGCUGAUCGUUAAAUAAAUCUUUAAAUAUA